GUUGGCGCUCAUGCAGGCGAUGAUGUCGUUGAGCGAGUGGAGGCGCGCGGCGAGCUCGGCGGCCUGGGUGCGGAGGACGGCGUUCUCGGCGUCGACGGCCUGGAGGCCCCGCGCGGUGAGCCCGAGCGCGGCGGCGACGUGCGCGUUCUCGCGGCGGAGGUGCGCCGCCUGCGCGGCGAGGUCGUCGAGGUGGCGCUGCUUGCGCAUCCGCGAGCGGCGCGCCGACUCCCGGUUGGAGAGCAUCCGCUUGGCCCGGCGCUGCUCCAUGAGCGCCCGCAUCUCCUCCUCCGUGCCCGACGCGGCCGCCAUCGCCAUGGCCGCCCCCGCCGUCGACAGCGAGCCCGUGCUCCCGCUCCCGCUGGAGGACGCCAUCACCACCAAGCAAGCGAGCAGACAAGCACUCUCUGCUUUCCUUUGUUGUUGUUGCAAGAACCAAAGAUGGAUCGUAACCAGCUACGGACUGACUCUAGAGAGACUGCGACGACGACGAGAGAGAGAGAGUAAGCGAGUGUGUGGGACGAGGGGAGCUUGAAGGGAUGAGCAGGAGGGCUAAAGGAGGAGGAGGAGGAGGGAGAGGAGGGGGAGGG
rnacentral:lncRNA from 1 species